UGAACGCUGGCGGCAUGCCUUACACAUGCAAGUCGAACGGUAACGCGGGGCAACCUGGCGACGAGUGGCGAACGGGUGAGUAAUGCAUCGGAACGUGCCCAGUAGUGGGGGAUAGCCCGGCGAAAGCCGGAUUAAUACCGCAUACGACCUACGGGUGAAAGCGGGGGAUCGCAAGACCUCGCGCUAUUGGAGCGGCCGAUGUCAGAUUAGGUAGUUGGUGAGGUAAAGGCUCACCAAGCCUUCGAUCUGUAGCUGGUCCGAGAGGACGACCAGCCACACUGGGACUGAGACACGGCCCAGACUCCUACGGGAGGCAGCAGUGGGGAAUUUUGGACAAUGGGCGCAAGCCUGAUCCAGCCAUGCCGCGUGCGGGAAGAAGGCCUCGGUUGUAACCGCUUUGUUAGGUAGAACGCUCUGGCGUAUACCCUGGGUAACGUGACGGUACCGUGAAGAAUAAGCACCGGCUAACUACGUGCCAGCAGCC
rnacentral:rRNA from 1 species